rnacentral:rRNA from 1 species
UAACGCAUUAAGCACUCCGCCUGGGGAGUACGGCCGCAAGGCUGAAACUCAAAGGAAUUGACGGGGGCCCGCACAAGCGGUGGAGCAUGUGGUUUAAUUCGAAGCAACGCGAAGAACCUUACCAGGUCUUGACAUCCUCUGACAACCCUAGAGAUAGGGCUUCUCCUUCGGGAGCAGAGUGACAGGUGGUGCAUGGUUGUCGUCAGCUCGUGUCGUGAGAUGUUGGGUUAAGUCCCGCAACGAGCGCAACCCUU